ACAAGGGUUAGGGUUAGGUCGUCUCAAUUCGUCAGGGACAUGGGACUCUACAAGGGUUAGGGUUAGGUCGUCUCAAUUCGUCAGGGUCAUGGACUCUACAAGGGUUAGGGUUAGGUCGUCUCAAUUCGUCAGGGUCAUGGACUCUACAAGGGUUAGGGUUAGGGUUAGGUCGUCUCAAUUCGUC